rnacentral:rRNA from 1 species
ACAUGCAAGUCGAGCGGAAACGAUCCUAGCUUGCUAGGAGGCGUCGAGCGGCGGACGGGUGAGUAAUGCAUAGGAAUCUGCCCGGUAGUGGGGGAUAACCUGAGGAAACUCAGGCUAAUACCGCAUACGUCCUACGGGAGAAAGCAGGGGCUCUUCGGACCUUGCGCUAUCGGAUGAGCUUAUGUCGGAUUAGCUGGUUGGUGAGGUAACGGCUCACCAAGGCGACGAUCCGUAGCUGGUCUGAGAGGAUGAUCAGCCACAUCGGGACUGAGACACGGCCCGAACUCCUACGGGAGGCAGCAGUGGGGAAUAUUGGACAAUGGGGGCAACCCUGAUCCAGCCAUGCCGCGUGUGUGAAGAAGGCCCUCGGGUUGUAAAGCACUUUCAGUGAGGAAGAAGGCUUGUCGGUUAAUACCCGGCAAGAAAGACAUCACUCACAGAAGAAGCACCGGCUAACUCCGUGCCAGCAGCCGCGGUAAUACGGAGGGUGCGAGCGUUAAUCGGAAUUACUGGGCGUAAAGCGUGCGUAGGCGGCUUGAUAAGCCGGUUGUGAAAGCCCCGGGCUCAACCUGGGAACGGCAUCCGGAACUGUCAGGCUAGAGUGCAGGAGAGGAAGGUAGAAUUCCCGGUGUAGCGGUGAAAUGCGUAGAGAUCGGGAGGAAUACCAGUGGCGAAGGCGGCCUUCUGGACUGACACUGACGCUGAGGUACGAAAGCGUGGGUAGCAAACAGGAUUAGAUACCCUGGUAGUCCACGCCGUAAACGAUGUCGACUAGCCGUUGGGGUCCUCGAGACCUUUGUGGCGCAGUUAACGCACUAAGUCGACCGCCUGGGGAGUACGGCCGCAAGGUUAAAACUCAAAUGAAUUGACGGGUGCCCGCACAAGCGGUGGAGCAUGUGGUUUAAUUCGAUGCAACGC